UACGAAGGGGGCUAGCGUUGCUCGGAAUCACUGGGCGUAAAGCGCACGUAGGCGGAUUGUUAAGUCAGGGGUGAAAUCCUGGAGCUCAACUCCAGAACUGCCUUUGAUACUGGCGAUCUUGAGUCCGGGAGAGGUGAGUGGAACUGCGAGUGUAGAGGUGAAAUUCGUAGAUAUUCGGAAGAACACCAGUGGCGAAGGCGACUCACUGGCCCGUUACUGACGCUGAGGCGCGAAAGCGUGGGGAGCAAACAGG
rnacentral:rRNA from 1 species